rnacentral:lncRNA from 1 species
UUUUCCUUAAAGAGCCUCAGCAAUGUCAUGAAAUUGCUUCAGAAGAGGAUGGCUCUCUUCAGAAAGCAAGAAAAAGGUGGGGAUGGAAUGUGAAUAAAAAGAAGAAAUGAAGGAAUACUGAAGACUAUAUAAAACAAAAGGCCUUUGAAGAAGGGACUGACAUCCUGAAGAGUGCAUAGCUAUUUGCUUAAGAAGGAGGCAUUGCAUUCCAUCUAAAUGUUCAUUUAGACCACA